AUUCAGGUUCCCAUCCCGUUAUUCCAGGAGGGGAUUAAAUAUAUCUCUAUAUAUUCAGCUACGAGUUUGGAAAGAUUUUAAAAUAAGAUUUCAAGGCAAAGCGGUAUUCAUCACUGAGAUUGUUCAAGGUUUUCUCUCUCAUCCGGACAGUUCCAAACAUCACCUCUUUCAAAAUGAAGCCCAUGCUUUUCACUGUGUGUGUUCUGCUUUGUGCAAUGAUGCUCACCGUUGAAGGUCGUCGCAGCCGACACCGUGACAGGCGGUCAUCGAGUGGGAGUGGUUCGAGUUCGGCCAGUAGCAGCGAAGAAGCUGCGGCUGCCACACCAGCUGCUACGCAAGCCCCGGCAACUACCGUAGCACCGGCAACAACAGCAGCACCUGCCCCACCAGUAGCUACUAUGGGGCCAGUCACUAUCCCGUAGCAGUUUCAGUGGGAAAUGGAACGCCCUUGUAUGGAAGGCGGCGUUUUCCAAAAUAUCAUAUAUAUAUAUUUUUGGAACACAUCGCCCUCCAUACCCUUGGUCAAUGAAGCUUUCGAUAGUUAUCUGUUUUGUUUCUAUCACGUGACGUGAUAUUACAAGAUUUAUACACUGUAGUCUCAACAAUAUUGUUCAUCUCUGUCAUAUUAACUCCGAUUUUUGCCCAACUACACAUCGUUGAUAUCACAAAAGCCAUCUACUAUUCUAACAUCUUUAGAAGAUGAAUUACCAAUUACCAUUGACCAAUUUUCUUUAUCUCUAACAAUCAACAAGUCAUAAUGAAUCAGUAUAUAUUUACAGAUCGUAGAAUAACAAAAUGAAGUGAUUUGUCGAUAAGUUGUGUUUUAUUUUGAUAACUUAUGAUGUCAGCAAUCGGGCCAAUUGUUCAUCUGGGUCCCGUAACACAAGGGUUAGCGAUUAAUCGUCCGCUUGAUUUUUUAUGAUUGAUUGUACAUUAUAGUCAAUGCAAUCAAUCGUAGAAAAUGUCCUACGAUCAUUGCUAAGCUUUGUGUGACGGUCCCUGGUGCAGUUUUCACACAAUUGCCUACAUUUCUUUGUCAUCUUGUAUUUUUUUAUAUGUGACAUUAGAUUAUUUAGAUCCUUUGCUGUUUGUUAAAGUCAAGACGCUUCAUAUCAAUUAAAGAAAGCUUUCGAAAACAA